rnacentral:rRNA from 1 species
GACGAACGCUGGCGGCGUGCUUAACACAUGCAAGUCGAACGCGAAAGCCCUUCGGGGCGAGUAGAGUGGCGAACGGGUGAGUAACACGUGGCAACCUGCCCCAAGGAGCGGGACAACCCGGGGAAACUCGGGCUAAUACCGCAUGAUUCGCCGGCACUCAAGUGCCGGCGGCAAAUGGUAGCUUCGGCCUCCGCCUUGGGAUGGGCCCGCGGCGCAUUAGCUUGUUGGUGAGGUAACGGCUCACCAAGGCGACGAUGCGUAGCUGGUCUGAGAGGACGAUCAGCCACACUGGGACUGAGACACGGCCCAGACUCCUACGGGAGGCAGCAGUGGGGAAUCUUGCGCAAUGGGCGGAAGCCUGACGCAGCAACGCCGCGUGUGGGAAGACGGCCUUCGGGUUGUAAACCACUUUCAGGGGGGACGAAGCUUCCAGGGUUAAUAGCCCAUGGGGUGACGGUACCCCCAGAAGAAGCCCCGGCUAACUACGUGCCAGCCGCCGCUGUAACAC